rnacentral:rRNA from 1 species
AGUGAACGCUGGCGGCAGGCCUAACACAUGCAAGUCGAGCGGCAGCGCGUCCGACCACCCUCGGGUGGUCGGAUGGCGGCGAGCGGCGGACGGGUGAGGAAUGCAUCGGAAUCUGCCUCGUUGUGGGGGAUAACGUAGGGAAACUUACGCUAAUACCGCAUACGACCUACGGGUGAAAGUGGGGGACCUUCGGGCCUCACGCGAUGAGAUGAGCCGAUGCCGGAUUAGCUAGUUGGCGGGGUAAAGGCCCACCAAGGCGACGAUCCGUAGCUGGUCUGAGAGGAUGAUCAGCCACACUGGAACUGAGACACGGUCCAGACUCCUACGGGAGGCAGCAGUGGGGAAUAUUGGACAAUGGGGGCAACCCUGAUCCAGCCAUGCCGCGUGUGUGAAGAAGGCCUCGGUUGUAAGCACUUUGUU